CAAAUUCACAGCAGCGCUCAGAGCUCCGCCGCCGGGCGCUGCGCUGCUGAUGAAAGCUGGACUUGGAGGCGAGGCCUGCCGCGCCUGGGCCUCCUCGGGGCUCCCUCCCCUCUCCUCUAUUCUUCAAUAAUCCUUAACCCUUUUCUCCCCUCUGGAGAUGUCCGUGGGGGGAGGGGCGAGGCGGUGGAGCCUCCUGAUUUUCUGCCCGUCUUGCCUUCAGCAGAGCCAGUCAACAUACUGAGCUAAUUCCUGAUUAUCCGGGAGUGCAUCCAGGGAAAGUAGAGAGACAUCAAUUAGUUUAACAUUCAGCCCUAUGACAACUCCUCAUUCACCUUCCCCCAGGAAAAAGGAAUAAUUAAACACCGGCUGAUCCAUAUCAUGAUCAGAUAUCAAUUUUGGAACCAUAGAAAAAGAGGUUUGCAAAAGUGAAGGACAAAGUACAUCCAGUUCUCUAGGGUUCUUCAAUGAAACCAUAUGUGACUGCAGUUUUCUUUGAAGGAGGUUUUUGAUAAUGCAUAUUCUAAUUUCCUACAUUUUUGUCAGUUUUGUGGUUGAGAAUCUGCCUGCUAAUGCAGGGGACACGGGUUCGAGCCCUGGUCUGGGAAGAUCCCACAUGCCACGGAGCAACUGGACCCAUGAGCCACAACUACUGAGCCUGCGCAUCUGGAGCCUGUGCUCCGCAACGAGAGGCCGCGAUAGUGAGAGCCCCGCGCACCACGAUGAAGAGUGGCCCCCCACUUGCCACAACUAGAGAAAGCCCUCGCACAGAA